AUGGCACAUAACAAGAAUCUAGGAUACAUAAAAAAAAUUGUAUUCAUGUUACUAGUUUUGUUUGUGACACAAACAUUACAGAUUGAGAUCAAAAUUGAAGAAGAGCCUUCAAGUGGUUUAUUAUGCAUUAGUGAAUGUGUUACAUGUCCUACAAUAUGUUCACCACCCCCUCCUAAACUUGUUUCAUCAAAUUCAAACCACCCUCCACUUUCACCCCUAACACAAAAUCCUCCACCUCCUCCAUUAUUAACAAAUUCACCCCCUUUUCCACUAAUUACACUCCACCCUCCAUCUUCUCCAUUGUUAACACAAACCCCUCCACCUCCUCCAUUAUUAACAUCAUAUUCACCUCCUCCUUCUCCACUUCUAAAAUCAUAUCCUCCUCCAACACUAACUCUUCCACCACCAUUGUUGACUAUGUCGCCGCCGUCUCCACCAACUCCUUCAACACAUUCAUCUGGGGAAGCUCCUCCUCCGCCUUUGAAAUCCUCGCCUUCUUCGGGUUCAUCAGGUUCAGCACAACCACAACCUACAGUUAUUGGUGGAUCACCACAUAACUAUCCAUAUCCAUAUUACUAUUAUUAUGCUUC